AGCUAGGUGAGACAAGGUCAUACCUUGGCGAAUGGCGGCCAUACUUUGAGUAGCGAUCAUCAUGGGCGUGAACGCUUGAGAGGCGUUCGGCACAUGGAACUGAGACACGGUCAAAUUCCUAUCGGGAGCAGCAAGUGGGGAAAUAUGCACAUUGGCGAAAGCUGAUGCAGCGACGCCGCGUGAGGAUGACGCCUUUCGGGUGUAAACUCUUUCGACAGGGACGAAGCGCAAGUGACGGUACCUGUAGAAGAAGCCCCGGCUACUACGUGUCAGCAGCCGCGUAAUACGUAGGGUGCGAGCGUUGUCCGGAAUUACUGGGCGUAAAGAGCUUGUAGGCGGUCUGUCACGUCGAUUGUGAAAAUUCACGGCUCAACCGUGGACUGCAGUCGAUACGGGCAGACUAGAGUACUUCAGGGGAGACUGGAAUUCCUGGUGUAGCGGUGAAAUGCGCAGAUAUCAGGAGGAACACCGGUGGCGAAGGCGGGUCUCUGGGAAGUAACUGACGCUGAGAAGCGAAAGCGUGGGUAGCGAACAGGAUUAGAUACCCUGGUAGUCCACGCCGUAAACGGUGGGUACUAGGUGUGGGUUUCCUUCCACGGGAUCCGUGCCGUAGCUAACGCAUUAAGUACCCCGCCUGGGGAGUACGGCCGCAAGGCUAAAACUCAAAGGAAUUGACGGGGGCCCGCACAAGCGGCGGAGCAUGUGGAUUAAUUCGAUGCAACGCGAAGAACCUUACCUGGGUUUGACAUACACCGGAAAGCCGUAGAGAUACGGCCCCCCUUGUGGUCGGUGUACAGGUGGUGCAUGGCUGUCGUCAGCUCGUGUCGUGAGAUGUUGGGUUAAGUCCCGCAACGAGCGCAACCCUUAUCUUAUGUUGCCAGCGCGUAAUGGCGGGGACUCGUGAGAGACUGCCGGGGUCAACUCGGAGGAAGGUGGGGACGACGUCAAGUCAUCAUGCCCCUUAUGUCCAGGGCUUCACACAUGCUACAAUGGCCGGUACAGAGGGCUGCGAUACCGUGAGGUGGAGCGAAUCCCUUAAAGCCGGUCUCAGUUCGGAUCGGGGUCUGCAACUCGACCCCGUGAAGUUGGAGUCGCUAGUAAUCGCAGAUCAGCAACGCUGCGGUGAAUACGUUCCCGGGCCUUGUACACACCGCCCGUCACGUCAUGAAAGUCGGUAACACCCGAAGCCGGUGGCCUAACCCUUGUGGAGGGAGCCGUCGAAGGUGGGAUUGCCAAUUUUUC
rnacentral:rRNA from 1 species